GCUUUUUUUUGAUAAAUUUAAUGAUAUGGUGAAUCUAUACUUGAUUAAAUGACUUUGAAAUAACCAAUAGAAUUUCAAUAACAACAUGUAGUUCAUUUCAUUUACAUUUGAUUUAAUCAUUUAUAAUCAAAUGUAAUGUAACCAAGCACAGAAUUCUCGAAAAACUGGUGGUCCAAAGAUUUGACCACCAAACUUUUUAAAGGACCGUCACAACUUUGGUUAUUAUUUUGCAACAGAAAUUAUAGUGAGGACCAACAGGUUUUCUUGUAGGACCACCAGGGAAAAAAAGAUUUCGAGAACUCUACAAGCAUGCAUUCCACAACUCACUGCACUUCUUUUUAACAUGAUGGAGUUGCAAAAAGUUACCACAGUUCUAUGGACAUGAUGGGCAACUAAAGGAGAAUAGUUUCAUUUGUCAAAGGACAACUAAAGGAGAAUAAUUUCAUUUGUCAAAGAACAACUGAAGGAGAAUAAUUUCAUUUGUCAAAGGACAGGAGACUUUCCAUGCCCUAAGAUUUUAAAAGCUGAAAUUGGAAAAUAAGAUGCAGAGAACCAUUCAUGAAGUAUAUAUAUGAUACUGAUAUUUACAAUGUUCUGCAGAGCUAAAACUCCAGCCCUUUAGAUUACAUUACACUACUAUUGCUUGCUAAUUCUACCAUCAAUAGCAGGAGAAGAGAGGAGAUUCAGCACUAUGAAUGAUCUUUGCAAUUUGCUGUGGAUGAUGACUAAAUCAAAUUUGGAUGCAUUGAUGAAAUUCAUAUAGCGAUGACAGUUACUUCAUUGAACAAGAAAAAGCUGUAAAUAUUUUCAAUGGUGCAAAACAAACAAGUUAUAAUGAACUAUAAAAUGAUUAAAACUGUGUUGAGUUUUCAAUUUGUUUAAAAAGUGACAACAUUUACCUAAUGAAAUAUAAUGAACACCAAAGAUGCUAUCAUUUGGAUUGAUUGUAAAGUUUA